rnacentral:rRNA from 1 species
CCUACGGGAGGCAGCAGUGGGGAAUAUUGGGCAAUGGAGGCAACUCUGACCCAGCAAUGCCGCGUGAGUGAUGAAGGUAAUUUUAUUGUAAAGCUCUUUUCUUUGGAACGAAUAAAUGACGGUACCAAAGGAAUAAGCCCCGGCUAACUACGUGCCAGCAGCCGCGGUAAUACGUAGGGGGCACGCGUUGGUCGGAAGGACUGGGGGUCAAGGGGGGGUAGGUGGGUUGAUAAGUAAGUUGUGUAAUACCUAGGGCUUAACUCGGGUGCUGCAUCUAAUACUGUUAGACUUGAGUACUGGAGAGGAUAGUGGAAUUCCUAGUGUAGCAGUGGAAUGCGUAGAUAUUAGGAGGAACAUCAGUGGCGAAGGCGAGUAUCUGGACAGCAACUGACACUGAGGCACGAAGGCGUGGGGAGCAAACAGGAUUAGAUACCCGGGUAGUC